GCGCCAUACAAGUCUAUUUGGAACUUAGGGAUCAUCGUAAAGAAAUCACAACCACAACCAGAUGUUAUCUUUGAAGACGCACAACAUUUGCCUUUCUCAGCUAUGCAAAUUUUGUUCCUAUAGUUACUUAUUUCAGAACUGAUGUCAAACAGCUAGCAGGCAGAACAAAAGCUAGAGAAGAUCGAAACUACAACAGGGCUUCCCACAUCGUAUUGCAUGCACCAAGUGCAAUUGGAUCGCGAAAAUCCCACGGUGAAUAACACGCCACGCUAUCCUCUGUAGUUCAACGAUUUUCGAUUGCGCGCUCUCCACCGUACAUAUGCUCCGCCAUUUGCCCUGGUCC
rnacentral:lncRNA from 1 species